UACGUAGGGGGCAAGCGUUGUCCGGAAUUAUUGGGCGUAAAGGGCGCGCAGGAGGCCUGUUAAGUCUGAUGUGAAAGACCGCGGCUCAACCGCGGGGUGGCAUCAGAAACUGGCAGGCUUGAGUGCAGGAGAGGAGAGUGGAAUUCCCGGUGUAGCGGUGGAAUGCGUAGAGAUCGGGAGGAACACCAGUGGCGAAGGCGGCUCUCUGGCCUGUUACUGACGCUGAGGCGCGAAAGCGUGGGGAGCGAACAGG
rnacentral:rRNA from 1 species